GUGAGGAAUAUUGGUCAAUGGGCGUGAGCCUGAACCAGCCAAGUAGCGUGAGGGAUGACGGCCCUACGGGUUGUAAACCUCUUUUGCCGGGGGAUAAAGUGCGCCACUUGUGGUGUUUUGCAUGUACCCGGAGAAUAAGGACCGGCUAAUUCCGUGCCAGCAGCCGCGGUAAUACGGAAGGUCCGGGCGUUAUCCGGAUUUAUUGGGUUUAAAGGGAGCGCAGGCUGGUGCUUAAGCGUGACGUGAAAUGCCGCGGCUCAACCGUGGAAGUGCGUCGCGAACUGGGUGCCUUGAGUGAGUUCGACGCCGGCGGAAUUCGUGGUGUAGCGGUGAAAUGCUUAGAUAUCACGAAGAACCCCGAUUGCGAAGGCAGCCGGCGAGGCCUCAACUGACGCUAAAGCUCGAAGGUGCGGGUAUCGAACAGGAUUAGAAACCCGAGUAGUCC
rnacentral:rRNA from 1 species